UUGAUGGUGUUAAUAAUGACAGGAAGCACGUCCCUGCAGUCUCUCCUUUAUCUGCUCCUCACGCUGAUCAUCUCUUCACUCAGCACCAGAGUCCCAUCACACACGGACACCAUGCUGCCAGCGCUCUGCUCUCUCUUCACUGCUCUCUCAUGUGUCAGUGGUGUGACUGUGGUGACGCAGAAGCCUCCUGUUCUCACACUGACUCAGGGACAGACGGCCACCAUGGACUGUAAUCUGGGGACUGUUACUAAUAGUGCUGCACGCUUUUAUAAACAGGUUCCUGGAGGAGUUCCUCAGUAUGUAUUAUACAAUUAUCAUGGUAGCUCUCCUUCUUAUGGGUCUGGUUUCUCGUCUCCUAAAUUCACAUCAUCACACUCCUCUCAAUCAGAUUAUAAAUUAAUAAUCAGUAAUGUAGAGGUGGGAGAUUCAGCAGUGUAUUACUGUAAGACAUGGGACGACUCUGCUAAAGAGUACGUAUCACAGUGAUGUUCACCAUGACAAAAACCUCCUCACUGCUCACACUCACUUCUGCUUUCACACAACACGAGAAACAACAAAAACCUGAACGUCAAAUCACUGGAACUG